rnacentral:rRNA from 1 species
UACGUAGGGGGCGAGCGUUGUCCGGAUUUAUUGGGCGUAAAGAGCUCGUAGGCGGCUUCGUAAGUCGGAUGUGAAAUCCCUCGGCUUAACUGGGGGCGGCCAUUCGAUACUGCGAGGCUAGAGGCCGGUAGGGGGACAUGGAAUUCCUGGUGUAGCGGUGAAAUGCGCAGAUAUCAGGAGGAACACCGGUGGCGAAGGCGGUGUCCUGGGCCGGUCCUGACGCUGAGGAGCGAAAGCUGGGGGAGCAAACAGG